AAAAAAGGUAAGCUACUAAGAGCGAAUGGUGGAUGCCUUGACUGGUAAAGGCGAUGAAGGACGUACUAGACUGCGAUAAGCUACGGGGAGCUGUCAAGAAGCUUUGAUCCGUAGAUUUCCGAAUGGGGCAACCCAAUGUAUAGAGAUAUACAUUACCUAUAUAGGAGCGAACGAGGGGAAUUGAAACAUCUUAGUACCCUCAGGAAAAGAAAUCAAUAGAGAUUGCGUCAGUAGCGGCGAGCGAAAGCGCAAGAGGGCAAACCCAGUGCUUGCACUGGGGGUUGUAGGACUGCAAUGUGCAAGAGGUAAGUUUAGCAGAACAUUCUGGAAAGUAUAACCAUAGAGGGUGAUAGUCCCGUAUGCGAAAAACAAACCUUAGCUAGCAGUAUCCUGAGUAGGGCGGGACACGAGGAAUCCUGUCUGAAUCCGGGUCGACCACGAUCCAACCCUAAAUACUAAUACCAGAUCGAUAGUGCACAAGUACCGUGAGGGAAAGGUGAAAAGAACUGAGGUGAUCAGAGUGAAAUAGAACCUGAAACCAUUUGCUUACAAUCAUUCAGAGCCCUAUGUAGCAAUACAGGGUGAUGGACUGCCUUUUGCAUAAUGAGCCUGCGAGUUGUGGUGUCUGGCAAGGUUAAGCAAACGCGAAGCCGUAGCGAAAGCGAGUCUGAAUAGGGCGCUUAGUCAGAUGCUGCAGACCCGAAACGAAGUGAUCUAUCCAUGAGCAAGUUGAAGCUAGUGUAAGAACUAGUGGAGGACUGAACCCAUAGGCGUUGAAAAGCCCCGGGAUGACUUGUGGAUAGGGGUGAAAGGCCAAUCAAACUUCGUGAUAGCUGGUUCUCUCCGAAAUAUAUUUAGGUAUAGCGUUGUGUCGUAAUAUAAGGGGGUAGAGCACUGAAUGGGCUAGGGCAUACACCAAUGUACCAAACCCUAUCAAACUCCGAAUACCUUAUAUGUAAUCACAGCAGUCAGGCGGCGAGUGAUAAAAUCCGUCGUCAAGAGGGAAACAACCCAGACUACCAGCUAAGGUCCCUAAAUCUUACUUAAGUGGAAAACGAUGUGAAGUUACUUAAACAACCAGGAGGUUGGCUUAGAAGCAGCCAUCCUUUAAAGAAAGCGUAAUAGCUCACUGGUCUAGUGAUUUUGCGCGGAAAAUAUAACGGGGCUAAAGUAAGUACCGAAGCUGUAGACUUGCACACAACUUAGAUUAUUUAAGUUUAGAAUAUGAGAAACUAAGUUAUAUGUUUAGUUAUAUUUUUACUGAUUUUUAUAGAGUAAAGAUAGAAAUAAAACUUAGUAAAAUCAGUAAAAAUAUUCUUAGACUAAAGUUAAGUAGUUUAAGUUGUGUGCAAGUGGUAGGAGAGCGUUCUAUUUGCGUCGAAGGUAUACCGGUAAGGAGUGCUGGAGCGAAUAGAAGUGAGCAUGCAGGCAUGAGUAGC
rnacentral:rRNA from 1 species